rnacentral:rRNA from 1 species
UACGAGGGUCCCAAGCGUUAUCCGGAAUUAUUGGGCGUAAAGCGCAUGUAGGCGGUUUGUUAAGUCUGGUGUGAAAGCUCAAGGCCUAACCUUGAAAUUGCAUUGGAAACUGGCAAACUAGAAUACUGGAGGGGUAAGUGGAAUUCCAUGUGUAGCGGUGGAAUGCGUAGAUAUAUGGAGGAACACCAAUGGCGAAGGCAGCUUACUGGACAGUUAUUGACGCUGAGAUGCGAAAGCGUGGGGAGCAAACAGG